rnacentral:rRNA from 1 species
CCAGAGAACUACGAGCACAAACGCUUAAAACUCUAAGGACUUGGCGGUGCCCUAAACCCACCUAGAGGAGCCUGUUCUGUAAUCGAUGAUCCACGAUCAACCCUACCGUCCCUUGCCAARCACAGCCUACAUACCGCCGUCGCCAGCCCACCUCGAAUGAGAGCACAACAGUGGGCGCAACAGCACCCCGCUAAUAAGACAGGUCAAGGUAUAGCCUAUGGGGCGGAAGAAAUGGGCUACAUUCCCUAUGCAUAGGGCAGCACGGAAAGAAGUAUGAAACUGCUUCUGGAAGGAGGAUUUAGCAGUAAAGCGGGAUAAUAAAGCCCGCUUUAAGCCGGCCCUAGGGCACGUACACACCGCCCGUCACC